CUUGCGCAAUGGACGGGAGUCCGACGCAGCGACGCCGCGUGGGUGAAGACGGCCUUCGGGUUGUAAAGCCCUUUUCUGGGGGAAGAGAGAGGACGGUACUCCAGGAAUAAGUGUCGGCUAACUACGUGCCAGCAGCCGCGGUAAUACGUAGGACACGAGCGUUAUCCGGAUUUACUGGGCGUAAAGCGCCUGUAGGCGGUUCUUCAAGUCGUUUGUGAAAGCCCUGGGCUCAACCUGGGGAGGCCAAGCGAUACUGGAGGACUUGAGGGUGACAGAGGGGAGUGGAAUUUCCGGUGUAGCGGUAAAAUGCGCAGAUAUCGGGAGGAACACCAGUGGCGAAGGCGGCUCCCUGGGUCACCCCUGACGCUGAGAGGCGAAAGCUAGGGGAGCAAACAG
rnacentral:rRNA from 1 species